rnacentral:tRNA from 1 species
CACCGUGAAGCUAACAAGCAUUAACCUUUUAAGUUAAAGACUGAAAAGUCUAAAAUCUUUCCACAGUGA